GGGCCUAUGGCUUAAUGGAUAAAGCGCCGGUCUACGGAACCGGAGUUUCCAGGUUCGAUCCCUGGUAGGCUCG
rnacentral:tRNA from 1 species